rnacentral:rRNA from 1 species
AACGUAGGUACCGAGCGUUAUCCGGAUUUACUGGGCGUAAAGCGCGUUCAGGCGGUUUGGCAAGUCGGGCAUGAAAUCUCUCGGCUCAACCGGGAGAGGUUGUCCGAUACUUCCAGACUUGAGGGCGUAGAGGUGGUGGAAUUCCGGGUGUAGUGGUAAAAUGCGUAGAUAUCCGGAGGAACACCGAGUGGCGAAAGCGGCCACCUGGACUGCGACCU